CCUACGGGAGGCUGCAGUGAGGAAUAUUGGUCAAUGGCCGGAAGGCUGAACCAGCCAAGCCGCGUGAAGGACGAAGGUGCCAAGCAUUGUAAACUUCUUUUGUCAAGGGACAAAAUCAGGCUCGAGAGCCUGACCGAGGGUACUUGAAGAAAAAGCAUCGGCUAACUCCGUGCCAGCAGCCGCGGUAAUACGGAGGAUGCGAGCGUUAUCCGGAUUUAUUGGGUUUAAAGGGUGCGUAGGCGGGCUGUUAAGUCAGCGGUAAAAGCCCGGGGCUCAACCCCGGCGAGCCGUUGAGACUGGCUGUCUUGAGAUGUCGAGAGGUAUGCGGAAUGCGCAGUGUAGCGGUGAAAUGCUUAGAUAUUGCGCAGAACUCCGAUUGCGAAGGCAGCAUACCGGCGGCGAUCUGACGCUGAGGCACGAAAGCGUGGGUAGCGAACAGGAUUAGAUACCCUUGUAGUC
rnacentral:rRNA from 1 species